GAUGAACGCUGGCGGCGUGCCUAAUACAUGCAAGUCGAGCGAACAGACGAGGAGCUUGCUCCUCUGACGUUAGCGGCGGACGGGUGAGUAACACGUGGAUAACCUACCUAUAAGACUGGGAUAACUUCGGGAAGCCGGAGCUAAUACCGGAUAAUAUAUUGAACCGCAUGGUUCAAUAGUGAAAGACGGUUUUGCUGUCACUUAUAGAUGGAUCCGCGCCGCAUUAGCUAGUUGGUAAGGUAACGGCUUACCAAGGCAACUAUGCGUAGCCGACCUGAGAGGGUGAUCGGCCACACUGGAACUGAGACACGGUCCAGACUCCUACGGGAGGCAGCAGUAGGGAAUCUUCCGCAAUGGGCGAAAGCCUGACGGAGCAACGCCGCGUGAGUGAUGAAGGUCUUCGGAUCGUAAAACUCUGUUAUUAGGGAAGAACAAAUGUGUAAGUAACUAUGCACGUCUUGACGGUACCUAAUCAGAAAGCCACGGCUAACUACGUG
rnacentral:rRNA from 1 species